rnacentral:lncRNA from 1 species
AUUCUUCUCCUUGAGGGUGGGGAGAGCCUGGCCCAGGUUGACCCCAGAAGCUGUGGCUGCCCCAUCCCUGGAGGGGUUCAAGGGCAGGUUGGAGGGGGCUUUGCCCUGAGGAGGGUGAGGAGGAGGAGGAAGAGGAGGAGAAGGAGGAGGGGGGUGAUGAUGAGGAGAAGGAGGAUGAGGAGGGGGAUGAAGAGGGGGAGGAGGAGGGGGAAGAGAAGGGGGAGGAGGAGAAGGAGAAGGAAGGUGAUGAGGAGGAGGAGGGUGAUGAGGAGAAGGAGGAUGAGGAGGAGGAGAAGGAGGAUGAGGAGGAAGACAAAGAGGAGGAGGGUGAUGGGGAGGGUGAGGAGGAGGAGGAUGAAGAGGGUGAUGAGGAGGGUGAGGAGGAGGAGGAUGAAGAGGGUGAUGAGGAGGGUGAGGAGGAGGAUGAGGAGGAGGAGGGCAAGGAGGAGGAGGGUGAUGAGGAGGAGGAGAAGGAGGAUGAGGAGGAAGAUGAAGAGGAGGAGGGUGAUGAGGAGGGUGAGGAGGAGGGGGAAAAGAAGGGGGAGGAGGAGAAGGAGGAGGAGGGUGAUGAGGAGGAGAAGGAGGAUGAGGAGGGGGAUGAAGAGGAGGAGGGUGAUGGGGAGGGUGAGGAGGAGGAGGAUGAAGAGGGUGAUGAGGAGGGUGAGGAGGAGAAGGAGGAUGAGGAGUGUGAUGAAGAAGAGGAGGAGGGUGAUGGGGAGGGUGACGAAGAGGAGGGCAAGGAGGAUGAGGAGGAGGUUGAUGAGGAAGAGGAGGAGGAGAGUGAUGAAGAAGAGGAGGAGAGUGAAGAGGAGGGUGAGGAGGAGGAGGAGGAGCGUGAGGAGGAGGGGAAAGCGGAGGAGGAGGAGGAUGAUGAAGGCGGGGAGGAGGAGGAUGAGGAGGGUGAUGAGGAAGAGCAUGAGGAGGGUGACGAGAGUGAUGAGGAGGAUAAGGAUGAGGAAGGGCGAUGAAGAAGAGGAGGAGGGUGACGAGGAGGGUGAUGAGGAAAGGGUUGAGGAGGUGAAGAGGAGGAGGGUGAUGAGGAAGAGCAUGAGGAGAAGGAGGAGGAGGAGGAGGAGGAGGAGGAGGAAGAGGAAGAGGAGGAUGAGAACAGUGAAGCAGAGGGUGAGGAGGAAGAGGAAGGGGAAUGAGGAGGGUGAUGAGGAAGAGGAUGAAGAGGGUGAUGAGGAGGGUGAAGAGGAGGAGCGGGAGGAGGAGGGUGAUGACGAGGAUGAGGAGAGGGAGGAGAAGGAGGAGGAGGAUGAAAAAGGUGUGGAGGAGGAUGAGGAGGGUGAGGAGGAGGAGGAUGAAGAAGGUGACGAGGAGGAUGAGGAGGAGGAGGAUGAAGAAGGUGACGAGGAGGAUGAGGAGGAGGAGGAUGAAGAAGGUGACGAGGAGGAUGAGGAGGAGGAGGAUGAAGAAGGUGACGAGGAGGAUGAGGAGGAGGAGGAUGAAGAAGGUGACGAGGAGGAUGAGGAGGAAGAUGAAGAGGAGGAGGGUGAUGAGGAAGAGGAUGAAGAGGGUGAUGAGGAGAGUGAGGAGGAGGAUGAGGAGGAGGAGGAUGAAGAAGGUGAGGAGGAGGAUGAGGAGGAUGAAGAGGGUGAUAAGGAGAGUGAGGAGGAGGGGGAGGAGGAGGAUGAUGAAGGAGGUGAGGAGGAGGAUGAGGAGGAUGAAGAAGGUGAGGAGGAGGAGGAUGAAGAGGGUGAUGAGGAGAGUGAGGAGGGGGAUGAGGGGGAGGAGGAGGAUGAAGAAGGUGAGGAGGAGGAUGAGGAGGAAGACGAAGAGGGGGAGGAGGAGGAAGGUGAUGGGCAGGGUGAUGAGGAAGGCCUCAGGGACCGUGGGGGCAGGUUCCUCAUUCCCAGAGACCCCGCUCGGGUUCCCCUUCUCCGCCCGGAAGUAAAACCAGGGACGGGGGCACCCCCACCCCCCCCCGGGCCCCCCCCCCCCCCCCCCCCGGG